rnacentral:rRNA from 1 species
CCUACGGGGGGCUGCAGUGGGGAAUAUUGGACAAUGGGGGCAACCCUGAUCCAGCCAUGCCGCGUGUGUGAAGAAGGCCCUCGGGUUGUAAAGCACUUUCAGUGAGGAAGAACGCCUGGUGGUUAAUACCCAUCAGGAAAGACAUCACUCACAGAAGAAGCACCGGCUAACUCCGUGCCAGCAGCCGCGGUAAUACGGAGGGUGCGAGCGUUAAUCGGAAUUACUGGGCGUAAAGCGCGCGUAGGUGGCUUGAUAAGCCGGUUGUGAAAGCCCCGGGCUCAACCUGGGAACGGCAUCCGGAACUGUCAAGCUAGAGUGCAGGAGAGGAAGGUAGAACUCCCGGUGUAGCGGUGAAAUGCGUAGAGAUCGGGAGGAAUACCAGUGGCGAAGGCGGCCUUCUGGACUGACACUGACACUGAGGUGCGAAAGCGUGGGUAGCAAACAGGAUUAGAUACCCGAGUAGUC